rnacentral:rRNA from 1 species
UGAAAAAGAACCUGAAACCGUGUACGUACAAGCAGUGGGAGCACCCUUCGGGGUGUGACUGCGUACCUUUUGUAUAAUGGGUCAGCGACUUAUAUUCUGUAGCAAGGUUAACCGUAUAGGGGAGCCGGAGGGAAACCGAGUCUUAACCGGGCGUUAAGUUGCAGGGUAUAGACCCGAAACCCGGUGAUCUAGCCAUGGGCAGGUUGAAGGUUGGGUAACACUAACUGGAGGACCGAACCGACUAAUGUUGAAAAA